rnacentral:rRNA from 1 species
CAGCAGCCGCGGGAAUACGAAGGGGGCUAGCGUUGUUCGGAAUUACUGGGCGUAAAGCGCACGUAGGCGGAUAUUUAAGUCAGGGGUGAAAUCCCAGAGCUCAACUCUGGAACUGCCUUUGAUACUGGGUAUCUUGAGUAUGGAAGAGGUGAGUGGAAUUCCGAGUGUAGAGGUGAAAUUCGUAGAUAUUCGGAGGAACACCAGUGGCGAAGGCGGCUCACUGGUCCAUUACUGACGCUGAGGUGCGAGAGCGUGGGGAGCAAACAGGAUUAGAUACCCCGGUAGUCCCUGUCUCUUAUAC